ACGGAAGGCAGCAGUAGGGAAUCUUCCACAAUGGGCGAAAGCCUGAUGGAGCAACGCCGCGUGUGUGAUGAAGGGUUUCGGCUCGUAAAACACUGUUGUAAGAGAAGAAUGACAUUGAGAGUAACUGUUCAAUGUGUGACGGUAUCUUACCAGAAAGGAACGGCUAAAUACGUGCCAGCAGCCGCGGUAAUACGUAUGUUCCAAGCGUUAUCCGGAUUUAUUGGGCGUAAAGCGAGCGCAGACGGUUAUUUAAGUCUGAAGUGAAAGCCCUCAGCUCAACUGAGGAAUUGCUUUGGAAACUGGAUGACUUGAGUGCAGUAGAGGAAAGUGGAACUCCAUGUGUAGCGGCGAAAUGCGUAGAUAUAUGGAAGAACACCAGUGGCGAAGGCAGCUUUCUGGACUGUAACUGACGUUGAGGCUCGAAAGUGUGGGUAGCAAACAGGAUUAGAUACCCUGGUA
rnacentral:rRNA from 1 species